CUGGCCGUUCAAGGAUGAAGAAUCUUACUAUGCCUUCUAUUGACAUUUGGGUCUACAUUUUGAUCUUGGCUGAACCAUCAUGUGAGCUUCUAUGACCAACUCCUCCACUCCUUCAAUAGUGCAAGACCAGCAAUUUAGGAAAGUACAGAAUCCUAUCAUGGAAAACCUUUUUGUCAAAAGAAGAUAGUGAUGAAAAGGAGGUCAUGAAUAUCAGAGGAAGAAUGAUUGUUCACUGCUCAUUUACCUCUGUUGAAGAAACAUGACUAAUCUCACUGUUGUAAUAUGGGUAUAAGAUUCCUCACAUCAUUAACACUGCAUGAUAAUAUUUCCAUAGAGAACUCAAAACAGUUCAUAAUUUCUAAUGAUGCGCGUUCGACAUAAUUUCGGUAUUGCUUCCAAUGAGUCACAACUAGAAAUAUCCAAGUAAAUUAAAUUCCACAUUUCAAGUCCUUGAAGCUGAGUAAGUUUCUUGCAGUCUCGAACUCUUAGAGAUUGUAAUUUCUCACAUCCUGUCAAAUUUGGCAAAGUCUCCAUUGAUUUGCAUCCCGUAAAAUCCAACUUUUCUAAGAACUUUGCACUGUCAAGACCUUCAAUUUUGACUAGAUUGCCGCUCCCAACAGCCUUUAAUUCCUUCAAACAAGGUAAUUCUAGACAGUGAAGCCUUUCAAUGGAAUUGCAGUCCUCUAAAGAUAUCAACUCCAAGGAACUGCACUUUUUUAUUGAAAGCUCUUCAAAGUGCACGAGUCCAUUGAGCGAAAGUGAUGUUAGCUUAUCCCACUCCUCAAAACAGAGUUUUAGUGGUAUUGAGGAAAGCUUGUGGAUGUCUUCAAGUAAAUGGCGUACCUCAAGAUGGAGUUUUUCUAGGUGGAUGAGGGCCUUG
rnacentral:lncRNA from 1 species